rnacentral:rRNA from 1 species
GCUCCAAUAGCGUAUAUUAAAGUUGCUGCAGUUAAAAAGCUCGUAGUUGGAUUUCUGACCUGAUACAUUUGGCCAGCCGCGAUUUCGCGUGUUAGUGCUUUAUGUUCUGGUCAUCCUUCCAAUCGCAACUGGCUCUUCUUCAUUGAUUGGUCAGUUGUAUUGGAUCUUUUACUUUGAAAAAAUUAGAGUGUUUCAAGCAG